AAAAUAAAAACCAACUCCAUUCAACACCUGCGUUCCAAAACUCAAAAUCAGGUGUGUUUCCAUUCAUAGUCUUCUCCGGUGCUUGGUUCUACAGAAUAUCUGCAAUUGUUUUCUCGCGCGUGAGGAAAAUCAGGCUCCAAAGCCAAAUGAAAAACCCGAAACCUCGCCAUCGCAGCGCAAUCGAAGAUCUCUUCACAUCUCUCAGCAGGCAUAUCGAGCGACCUGAAAACGAACAAGCUGUUAAGGGCUUCGAUCAAGGCAUACUGCCUAUACCAUCGAAACAAGUUAGAUGACGCAUUCGCGUGUCUGAAAAAACAAGACAAGGAUUCUGCAAGUUCCCUGUUAGAGGCACAGAAUCUUCAAAAGUCAAAGAUCGAGACCUUGGAAAUCAAUAUCAUUGCAAGCCUGGUCUCGGCUGUGAGAUCUUCUGAUGUGCAAGGAGUGAGUUGGAAUCUCUGAGGGUCAUCAAGGCAACUCCAGCAGCUUUGAGUUGGCUUAUAAUACUGCUUGUUCGUUUAUUGAAAUCCUUUAGUAUGGAGAUGCAUGCAGAACAACCUCAUUGCUUUGAAAGCACCAAAAGACGUUUCUGGCAAUCAGAAACUCAACCAGCUUAAAGAAAACGACUCCCAGACCUUUCAGCUUUCUCAUGCACUCAGAUGUAAAGCUUUCCCAUAUAUGACGAUGGGGUCCUUUUCUUCUUCUUCUUCUUCUUCAAGCAAAUAAGAUGGAUCAGGUCCUUCCACCUUGAAAUAUAACUAUCCCUUCUACUCUUUGCCCCUCUUCUUCCAGUUAAACGAUUAAACUUUUUUUCCUCAGGCUCAAGAAAUUUCUUGAGAGAUCUAAGUCAGUUCUCUGGGCUAGGGCUCAGAUUGCUGCUUCCGCCAACCAUCCUCUUGUUGCAGCAGAGUCUCUGUCCACGAUACUGGAUAUCCACCACAUUCCCGUUACUGUUGCCACCAUUGUUACCCUCAAAGAGCAUGCUGGUGACACUAACGGUGCUGUUUCAGUGCUUGACUCGGCGAUUAAUUGGUGGUCAAAUGCCAUGACCGAGGACAAUAAACUCGGCGAUUAACUUCUGUUUGCCCGUUUGGGACAGAAUAACGUUUUUCGGAAAGUGAUCCAUACUUUUAGAAGAGUUAUCCGGUUCUCUAUUUGUUUAUAUCCUGCUCUAUACCCAAAUUUUUGUUCUAACAAGAGAUUAUGAUUACAGGAUACUAUUAAAUAAGAUUCAGUUCCAUGA